GGCGAACGGGUGAGUAACACGUGGGCAAUCUGCCCUUCACUCUGGGACAAGCCCUGGAAACGGGGUCUAAUACCGGAUACGACGCGCGACCGCAUGGUCUGUGCGUGGAAAGCUCCGGCGGUGAAGGAUGAGCCCGCGGCCUAUCAGCUUGUUGGUGGGGUAAUGGCCUACCAAGGCGACGACGGGUAGCCGGCCUGAGAGGGCGACCGGCCACACUGGGACUGAGACACGGCCCAGACUCCUACGGGAGGCAGCAGUGGGGAAUAUUGCACAAUGGGCGAAAGCCUGAUGCAGCGACGCCGCGUGAGGGAUGACGGCCUUCGGGUUGUAAACCUCUUUCAGCAGGGAAGAAGCGAGAGUGACGGUACCUGCAGAAGAAGCGCCGGCUAACUACGUGCCAGCAGCCGCGGUAAUACGUAGGGCGCAAGCGUUGUCCGGAAUUAUUGGGCGUAAAGAGCUCGUAGGCGGCUUGUCACGUCGAAUGUGAAAGCCCGGGGCUU
rnacentral:rRNA from 1 species